CCUAAAAGGUAACGGAGGCGCUCAAAGGUUCCCUCAGAAUGGUUGGAAAUCAUUCAUAGAGUGUAAAGGCAUAAGGGAGCUUGACUGCGAGACCUACAAGUCGAGCAGGGUCGAAAGACGGACUUAGUGAUCCGGUGGUUCCGCAUGGAAGGGCCAUCGCUCAACGGAUAAAAGCUACCCCGGGGAUAACAGGCUUAUCUCCCCCAAGAGUUCACAUCGACGGGGAGGUUUGGCACCUCGAUGUCGGCUCAUCGCAUCCUGGGGCUGUAGUCGGUCCCAAGGGUUGGGCUGUUCGCCCAUUAAAGCGGUACGCGAGCUGGGUUCAGAACGUCGUGAGACAGUUCGGUCCCUAUCCGUCGUGGGCGUAGGAAAUUUGAGAGGAGCUGUCCUUAGUACGAGAGGACCGGGAUGGACAUACCUCUGGUGUACCAGUUGUCGUGCCAACGGCAUAGCUGGGUAGCUAUGUGUGGACGGGAUAAGUGCUGAAAGCAUCUAAGCAUGAAGCCCCCCUCAAGAUGAGAUUUCCCAACUUCGGUUAUAAGAUCCCUCAAAGAUGAUGAGGUUAAUAGGUUCGAGGUGGAAGCAUGGUGACAUGUGGAGCUGACGAAUACUAAUCGAUCGAAGACU
rnacentral:rRNA from 1 species